AUUGAACGCUGGCGGCAGGCCUAACACAUGCAAGUCGAACGAGUGGCGGACGGGUGAGUAAUGUCUGGGAAACUGCCCGAUGGAGGGGGAUAACUACUGGAAACGGUAGCUAAUCCCGCAUACCAUCGGAUGUGCCCAGAUGGGAUUAGCUAGUAGGUGGGGUAACGGCUCACCUAGGGCACUAUCCCUAGCUGGGCUGAGAGGAUGACCGGCGACACUGGAACUGAGACACGGGCCAGACUCCUACGGGAGGCAGCAGUGGGGAAUAUUGCACAAUGGGCGCAAGCCUGAUGCAGCGAUGCCGCGUGUAUGAGGAAGGCCUGCGGGUUGUAAAGUACUUUCAGCGAGGAGGCGUUACUCGCAGAAGAAGCACCGGCUAACUCCGUGCCAGCAGCCGCGGUAAUUC
rnacentral:rRNA from 1 species